ensembl:snRNA U6 U6 spliceosomal RNA
GUCCUCGCUUGGGCAGCACAAAUACUAAAAUUGGAAUGAUACUGAGAAGAUCAGCAUGGGCUCUGCGCGAGGAUGACUUGUGAAUUUGUCCAGCAUUCCCUGUUCUU